AGAUCAGUCACUUAACAUGGCCUCUUACUAGCAACAUUGGCAGUGGAUCUGUAUGCUUAGGGGCCACGAUGAACAAAACAACUCGAGAUUGAAUCAAACACAAGAGAAAAUGAUGCAAUCAAGAGACGUGCCUCAUCCUUUGAAAAAGUGAGAGCUGGAAGCAUAACUAGCACUGAAAACUUGUCCUAUAAUUACAUUCUCCAC